AAAGUCGUAACAAGGUUUCCGUAGGUGAACCUGCGGAAGGAUCAUUAUUGAAUAAACUUGGUCAAGCUGUUGCUGGUCCUUCGGGGCAUGUGCACGCUUGCCACCAAUUUUAACCACCUGUGCACCUUUUGUAGAUUGGAAACGAUUCUCGAGGCAACUCGGAUUGAGGACUGCUGUGCGCAAGCCAGCUGUUCUUGUGUUUCUCAAUCUAUGUUUUUAUAUACUCCUAAUGUAUGUAUCAGAAUGUAUUGUUAGGCCUCUGUGCCUUUAAAUCAAAUACAACUUUCAACAACGGAUCUCUUGGCUCUC
rnacentral:misc_RNA from 1 species